UACGUAGGGGGCGAGCGUUGUCCGGAUUUAUUGGGCGUAAAGAGCUCGUAGGCGGCUAAGCAAGUCGGGUGGGAAAUCUCCAGGCUCAACCUGGAGCCUUCGCCCGAUACUGCUUUGGCUUGAGUCCGGUAGGGGAGUGUGGAAUUCCCGGUGUAGCGGUGAAAUGCGCAGAUAUCAGGAGGAACACCGAUGGCGAAGGCAGGUCUCUGGGCCGAUACUGACGCUGAGGAGCGAAAGCGUGGGGAGCGAACAGG
rnacentral:rRNA from 1 species